UGAAGCGCACGCCAUCUUUUUCUCCGGGCAUUUUGGGGAUUCCUCUCUCAAUUAGAGGGAAGAUAACGUCCAGAAAUAAUAAUAACAUUUCACUAAUGCACUCAUAUAUUCGGUUUUGUUUCUCCAAAUCACGAGUGACCGUUGCAUUGAACAUAGCAACUGUAGCGUUAUAUGUGAAAGGUGGAGGCAGUUUUUGGGCUACUGACACGGAGUUGGCAUUAUACUUGCUGCAUGGACAGGAGUUUGAUAUGGAGCUUAUGGGGAAAAGGAGGAAGAUCAAUCCUGGUGUCAGCAGCUCAGCGCACAUCUCUCCCAGUAACGGCAGGACAAGUGUCAGCUGGAGGAGAGGCAGCCGCCAUGCAGAGAGAGAGAGAGCGAGAGACUUCUAUACAUGCCAUGGAAGAAACCAGCAUCUCCAGUGAGUGAGCGGUUUGAUUUGGUCCUGGGAGUUGAUGGCCCAGCAGGUCUGCCUGUCAAAGAGCAUCUCGGAGCUGUCACGGCCCACCUGCCACACGGAUGGAACUUCCCUCUAGUCCUCACCGUUACCCACAAGGCACCUGGACAGCAGAUAGGAUGGCGUGGAUUGGAAGGUUGAUGUGAGGGAAAGACAAUCAGUCAGGUAAAUAAAGAAGUGGUCCGACAGUGAGGUGGGGUUCCGGGCCAAGGAGGGGCCUGAGGUGCGGCGAGGUUUCUCUGUGAAGAAGCGCGGCAGACCUACUGUGUGAUCCGUGUUGAUAAGAUGACGGGCUAUAGACAGGAGCAGCACACCAAACGGAAUCCUCAAUAAAAGCAAAUAUGACAGCCAAAUGUUGAAAAGAGAAAAAAACAAACCCACCGAUAUCUAAAACACAAAGACAAAGCCCCUGAAAAUACUACAGUGAAAGGCAGAUCUCGGCACUAGUGUUUCACUCCUUAUUGAACUGGGGUGGCUGAGAAGAGGUGCAGAAUAUUAGAUAUCAUUGCACAGCGCUGGAAUGACAUGAUGAAAAGCAACAGAACCCACUGUGCUCCCACAAAUCAGCAGCAAGCAUCAGAGACAGACAAAUUCAAAUCCACAGUUGAAACAAUACAUAAAAAGUGGGAUUAAGUUUGCAGUGUAUCUUCACAAGAAAAAACAGACUCACUAUAAAGUGUGUUUUGGUUUAGUAGAGUGUAGUGAGCACAUUCAGAUAUCCUCUAAGAUGAUACUGUUUUUUUACCCUCUUAUAUCUUCAUAAAUCAUACCCAAAUAUGACUUAUUUAAAGGUUCGUUGAGAGCUUGAAACUCCUCCAGCCUUUUCAUCUUAAUACACUUGUGCUGUCUGGACAAGUUCAGCACAGUCCUGUUAGUUGCCGUACCAGAGCAUAAAUCCUUCCUCUUUGUCACUUUGAUCAGCCUCCCUUCCUUUCCUCAAGUGUCCAUAAGGAAUGUGAGGUGGGUGGGGGACAGCGGGUGGAGAGUGAGGAAGGGGUGAGGUGACAGGACGCGAAAGGAGGAGGGACGAAGGGGUGGGGUAUAGCACAUAUCGCAUCGCAUUGAUUCGGUCCAUUUGGUGGACUGAACAUGAACCCAAUAAUCAGAUCUUGCUUAAGCACGCGCUUCCUCAGUAAUUGACUCUCGCAUAUUGAUUAAGAUGUUGAUGUGUCCCAGUCCUGCUCCUGUGCUAAUGCAACUGAGAAUGAGCCUGACCCCCCCCACUUGCAACACUGACACACAGACACAUCACACACACACACACACACACACACACAUGCAUGAACAGAGAUACAUGCACAGAAGCACACACGCAGCCGGAACAAGCCUGUCAUUGGGUUCAGUCUAAUAGAUAAAGCUGUCAUGCCGAUGCUGCAGUGUCUCACAGGGCCAGCAGACCAAAUUAGCCUGUCAAUAAUUUAUGUAGAAUAAGAAAGAGAAAGAAACACUGACAGAAAAGUGAACAACACUGGGUGGAAAUGGCUGCGACAUACAAAUUACUGGGGGAUUUGAUUUUUGCUUUAAAAAUGUCAGUUGCUUAGGUCAGUGUUUAUUUUUAUCUUUUAUUCUUUCCCUCCAUCCAUUAGGAGCUUGUUAAAAACAUUUUAUUUGAGCAGAAAAGAUGUACACACCUUUCCAUAAAUAUUGGAUAUUAAAGAGGCAAACUUGACACAUUGAUUUGUUUACUGUUGUGCAUAUUAACUGUACAUGUACAUAUGUUGUGGGAUUUGAUGACCUCAAAUGGACAGGUAUUUCACUUUACCAUCAUCUGUUUCUAAUGAUCUUUUAUUUAAAAAAACAAACAAAUUAGAAAUCAACCAGUUGGAGAAAAUAAGUAGAAAAAGUUUCAUGUAUUUGGCCUGAUACUGUGCUAUAACAUGAUAUGAUGUUUAAUUUACAGUCCUAUCAGUGUUUUAGUAGUGCCCCUUGUUUCAGCUGUCUUAAUCUUAAAAAGGUUUUUUUAACAGCUGCAACAUAAAUAGUCAUUUUUUAUUUUACCACAAUUAUAUAAAGGCACUAAUAUGUGGCAACUCUGAUCCUGCUGUUA